AUUGAACGCUGGCGGCAGGCUUAACACAUGCAAGUCGAGCGAGCGGCGGACGGGUGAGUAAUGUCUGGGAAACUGCCUGAUGGAGGGGGCUAACUACUGGAAAAGGUAGCUAAUACCGCAUACCAUCAGAUGUGCCCAGAUGGGAUUAGCGAGUAGGUGGGGUAAUGGCUCACCUAGACGACGAUCCCUAGCUGGUCUGAGAGGAAGACCAGCCACACUGGAACUGAGACACGGUCCAGACUCCUACGGGAGGCAGCAGUGGGGAAUAUUGGCCAAUGGGCGCAAGCCUGAUCCAGCCAUGCCGCUUGUGUGAAGAAGGCCUUCGGGUUGUAAAGCACUUUCAGCGAGGAGGCGUUACUCGCAGAGAAAGCACCGGCUAACUCCGUGCCAGCAGCCGCGGUAAUAC
rnacentral:rRNA from 1 species